UACGUAGGGGGCAAGCGUUGUCCGGAAUCAUUGGGCGUAAAGAGCGUGUAGGCGGCCAGGUAGGUCUGGUGUGAAAACUCGAGGCUCAACCUCGAGACGUCGGUUGAAACCGUACGGCUAGAGUCCGGAAGAGGAGAGUGGAAUUCCCGGUGUAGCGGUGAAAUGCGCAGAUAUCGGGAAGAACACCCGUGGCGAAGGCGGUUCUCUGGGCAUGACCUGACGCUGAGGAGCGAAAGUGUGGGGAGCGAACAGG
rnacentral:rRNA from 1 species